UGGGGAAUUUUGGACAAUGGGGGCAACCCUGAUCCAGCAACGCCGCGUGAAUGAAGAAGGCCUUAGGGUUGUAAAGUUCUUUUAUUUGGGAGUAAAAGCUAAUUGCUAAUACCAGUUAGAUAUGAGAGUACCAAAUGAAUAAGCACCGGCUAACUACGUGCCAGCAGCCGCGGUAAUACGUAGGGUGCAAGCGUUAAUCGGAAUUACUGGGCGUAAAGCGUGCGCAGGCGGAUAUGUAAGUUAGGUGUGAAAUCCCCAAGCUCAACUUGGGAACUGCACUUAAGACUGCAUGUCUAGAGUUUGUCAGAGGGGGGUAGAAUUCCAAGUGUAGCAGUGAAAUGCGUAGAUAUUUGGAGGAAUACCAGUGGCGAAGGCGGCCCCCUGGGAUAAAACUGACGCU
rnacentral:rRNA from 1 species